rnacentral:rRNA from 1 species
CGGAGCUACCAUGCAGCCGAGCGGUAUUGUUUCUUCUGAAAUGAGAGAGCGGCGUACGGGUGCGGAACACGUGUGCAACCUGCCUUUAUCUGGGGGAUAGCCUUUCGAAAGGAAGAUUAAUACUCCAUAACAUAUUGAACGGCAUCGUUUGAUAUUGAAAGCUCCGGCGGAUAGAGAUGGGCACGCGCAAGAUUAGCUAGUUGGUGAGGUAACGGCUCACCAAGGCGAUGAUCUUUAGGGGGCCUGAGAGGGUGAUCCCCCACACUGGUACUGAGACACGGACCAGACUCCUACGGGAGGCAGCAGUGAGGAAUAUUGGUCAAUGGGUGCAAGCCUGAACCAGCCAUCCCGCGUGAAGGACGACUGCCCUAUGGGUUGUAAACUUCUUUUGUAUAGGGAUAAACCUACCCUCGUGAGGGUAGCUGAAGGUACUAUACGAAUAAGCACCGGCUAACUCCGUGCCAGCAGCCGCGGUAAUACGGAGGGUGCAAGCGUUAUCCGGAUUUAUUGNGUUUAAAGGGUCCGUAGGCGGACUUAUAAGUCAGUGGUGAAAGCCUGUCGCUUAACGAUAGAACUGCCAUUGAUACUGUAAGUCUUGAGUAUAUUUGAGGUAGCUGGAAUAAGUAGUGUAGCGUGUGAAAUGCAUAUAUAUUACUUA